rnacentral:rRNA from 1 species
UACGUAGGGGCGUAGCGUUGUCCGGAAUCAUUGGGCGUAAAGCGCGUGUAGGCGGUCCGGUAAGUCCGCUGUGAAAGUCGAGGGCUCAACCCUCGAAUGCCGGUGGAUACUGUCGGGCUUGAGUACGGGAGAGGCGAGUGGAAUUCCUGGUGUAGCGGUGAAAUGCGCAGAUAUCAGGAGGAACACCGAUUGCGAAGGCAGCUCGCUGGAACGUUACUGACGCUGAGACGCGAAAGCGUGGGGAGCAAACAGG